UACUGCCUCCCGGGCAGCUCACAUGCCAAUGGAAGGAAGUUAAGAGAAGGGGACAGAGGCUCUCAAGAUAAUACCAAGCAAGGGAUCCGCUUGGUUUUUCCAUUCCCUCUGGCACCAGCAAGGGUUGGUUUCCUUCCAUUCCUGAUCCUGCAAAUACUCUCACACAUGAGUAUUUUCACUGUUAUCAGUGAGGCUACUUGGGCUGCAACGGCCUCCAUACCUCCCUGCUGGCUGCUGUGCAGGAGGCAAUCGCUCCUAGACUUUCGGCACAACGUGGGGCGUUAAAGUGAGCUGCUCGGCCUUGGCAUUUCCAAGCGCGGGAAGAAAAGAUUCCUUCCAAAGUGGCGACAUGCGGGAAGAGAACAGAGAUGGCUACCUAGCCCAUGCUUGGUGUCCCC